GACUUCUGGUUUAAUGCACCUGGCCCGCGGCCCACAAGGCCUGUGAGUGCCGGCGCGCGUUUACCAUCCUUCCAGCAACGGCUACCCUUAACUGGGCGGCUGGAACUGGAUCUUUUACUUUGAAAAAAUUAGAGUGUUUAAAGCAGGCGUUUGCUCUGAAUACAUUAGCAUGGAAUAAUAAUCUAGGACUUCGGUUCUAUUUUGUUGGUUUCUAGAACUGAAGUAAUGAUUGAUAGGGAUAGUUGGGGGUGCUAGUAUUGGCCGGUCAGAGGUGAAAUUCUUGGAUUCGGUCAAGACUAACUUAUGCGAAAGCAUU
rnacentral:rRNA from 1 species